GACGAACCGUGCGAACGUUAUUCGGAAUCACUGGGCUUAAAGCGCGUGUAGGCGGGGUGGCACGUCGGUCGCUGAAAGCCCCCGGCUCAACCGGGGAAGGGGCGCCGAUACGACCACCCUGGAGGGACGUAGGGGGACCUGGAACUUCCGGUGGAGCGGUGAAAUGCGUUGAGAUCGGAAGGAACGCCCGUGGCGAAAGCGAGGUCCUGGACGUUUACUGACGCUGAGACGCGAAAGCCAGGGG
rnacentral:rRNA from 1 species